GAUGAAGAACGUAGCGAAAAGCGAUAAGUAAUGUGAAUUGCAGAAUUCAGUGAAUCAUCGAAUCUUUGAACGCACAUUGCGCCCGCCAGUAUUCUGGCGGGCAUGCCUGUUCGAGCGUCAUUUCAACCAUCAAGCCCCCGGCUUGUGUUGGGGACCUGCGGCUGCCGCAGGCCCUGAAAACCAGUGGCGGGCUCGCUAGUCACUCCGAGCGUAGUAAUACAUCUCGCUCAGGGCGUGCUGCGGGUUCCGGCCGUUAAAAAGCCUUAUUUACCCAAGGUUGACCUCGGAUCAGGUAGGAAGACCCGCUGAACUUAAGCAUAUCAAUAAGCGGAGGA
rnacentral:misc_RNA from 1 species